rnacentral:rRNA from 1 species
GACGAACGCUGGCGGCGUGCUUAACACAUGCAAGUCGAACGGAAAGGCCCUGCUUUUGUGGGGUGCUCGAGUGGCGAACGGGUGAGUAACACGUGAGUAACCUGCCCUGGACUUUGGGAUAACUUCAGGAAACUGGGGCUAAUACCGGAUAGGAGCUCCUGCUGCAUGGUGGGGGUUGGAAAGUUUCGGCGGUUGGGGAUGGACUCGCGGCUUAUCAGCUUGUUGGUGGGGUAGUGGCUUACCAAGGCUUUGACGGGUAGCCGGCCUGAGAGGGUGACCGGCCACAUUGGGACUGAGAUACGGCCCAGACUCCUACGGGAGGCAGAAGUGGGGAAUAUUGCACAAUGGGCGGAAGCCUGAUGCAGCAACGCCGCGUGCGGGAUGACGGCCUUCGGGUUGUAAACCGCUUUCGCCUGUGACGAAGCGUGAGUGACGGUAAUGGGUAAAGAAGCACCGGCUAACUACGUG